rnacentral:tRNA from 5 species
GGGGGAUUAGCUCAGUUGGGAGAGCAUCGCCUUUGCAAGGCGAGGGUCAUCGGUUCGAGCCCGAUAUCCUCCA